rnacentral:rRNA from 1 species
AGAGUUUGAUCCUGGCUCAGGACGAACGCUGGCGGCGUGCUUAACACAUGCAAGUCGAGCGGAAAGGCCCUUCGGGGUACUCGAGCGGCGAACGGGUGAGUAACACGUGAGCAAUCUGCCCUUAGCUUCGGGAUAGCUCCGGGAAACCGGAAUUAAUACCGGAUAUGACUACGGCCGACAUCGGCCACGGUGGAAAGUUUUUCGGCUAGGGAUGAGCUCGCGGCCUAUCAGCUUGUUGGUGGGGUAACGGCCUACCAAGGCGACGACGGGUAGCCGGCCUGAGAGGGCGACCGGCCACACUGGGACUGAGACACGGCCCAGACUCCUACGGGAGGCAGCAGUGGGGAAUAUUGCGCAAUGGGCGAAAGCCUGACGCAGCGACGCCGCGUGGGGGAUGAAGGCCUUCGGGUUGUAAACCCCUUUCAGCAGGGACGAAGCGAAAGUGACGGUACCUGCAGAAGAAGCGCCGGCUAACUACGUGCCAGCAGCCGCGGUAACACGUAGGGCGCAAGCGUUGUCCGGAAUUAUUGGGCGUAAAGAGCUCGUAGGCGGUCUGUUGCGUCCGCUGUGAAAUCUCGGGGCUUAACCCCGAGCCUGCAGUGGAUACGGGCAGACUAGAGGUAGGUAGGGGAGAAUGGAAUUCCUGGUGUAGCGGUGAAAUGCGCAGAUAUCAGGAGGAACACCGGUGGCGAAGGCGGUUCUCUGGGCCUUACCUGACGCUGAGGAGCGAAAGCGUGGGGAGCGAACAGGAUUAGAUACCCUGGUAGUCCACGCCGUAAACGUUGGGCGCUAGGUGUGGGAUCCUUCCACGGAUUCCGUGCCGCAGCUAACGCAUUAAGCGCCCCGCCUGGGGAGUACGGCCGCAAGGCUAAAACUCAAAGGAAUUGACGG